UGCUUUGGCACGAGUUAAAAAGGCUACAGAGCAGCCUGGGGGACUUGGGCAUUCUGGAGAGCUUCCAGAUCCUGAGGAGUCCUGGAAAAAGUGCAGCAGCUCUGAGAUGUCUUGGAGGAGCAGCUCAGGAUGAGGAUAUGGGGCUGCUGCCCGGAAGAAGGAAAG